UGGGGAAUAUUGCACAAUGGGCGCAAGCCUGAUGCAGCCAUGCCGCGUGUGUGAAGAAGGCCUUCGGGUUGUAAAGCACUUUCAGCGGGGAGGAAGGCGUUAAGGUUAAUAACCUUGGCGAUUGACGUUACCCGCAGAAGAAGCACCGGCUAACUCCGUGCCAGCAGCCGCGGUAAUACGGAGGGUGCAAGCGUUAAUCGGAAUUACUGGGCGUAAAGCGCACGCAGGCGGUUUGUUAAGUCAGAUGUGAAAUCCCCGGGCUCAACCUGGGAACUGCAUCUGAUACUGGCAAGCUUGAGUCUCGUAGAGGGGGGUAGAAUUCCAGGUGUAGCGGUGAAAUGCGUAGAGAUCUGGAGGAAUACCGGUGGCGAAGGCGGCCCCCUGGACGAAGACUGACGCUCAGGUGCGAAAGAGUGGGGAGCAAACAGG
rnacentral:rRNA from 1 species